rnacentral:rRNA from 1 species
UACGUAGGGUGCAAGCGUUAAUCGGAAUUACUGGGCGUAAAGCGUGCGCAGGCGGUUUUGUAAGCCAGAUGUGAAAUCCCCGGGCUCAACCUGGGAAUGGCAUUUGGGACUGCAAGGCUGGAGUGCGGCAGAGGAGACUGGAAUUCCUGGUGUAGCAGUGAAAUGCGUUGAUAUCCACAGGAACUCCGGUGGCGAAGGCGGCACGCUGGACCCGCCCUGACGCUGAGGCGCGAAAGCCAGGGGAGCGAACGGG